rnacentral:rRNA from 1 species
UACGAAGGGUGCAAACGUUGCUCGGAAUUAUCGGGCGUAAAGCGCACGUAGGCGGCUUAGCAAGUCGGAUGUGAAAUCCCUCGGCUCAACCAAGGAAGUGCAUCCGAAACUGCUGAGCUUGAGUACGAAAGAGGAUCGCGGAAUUCCCGGUGUAGAGGUGAAAUUCGUAGAUAUCGGGAGGAACACCAGUGGCGAAGGCGGCGAUCUGGGUCGAUACUGACGCUGAGGUGCGAAAGCGUGGGGAGCAAACAGG